rnacentral:rRNA from 1 species
GACGAACGCUGGCGGCGUGCCUAAUACAUGCAAGUCGAACGAGAGCGUCCGGUGCUUGCACUGGUCAAUCUAGUGGCGAACGGGUGAGUAACACGUGGGUAACCUGCCCAUCAGAGGGGGAUAACAUCCGGAAACGGAUGCUAAAACCGCAUAGGUCUUCGAGCCGCAUGGCUUGAAGAGGAAAAGAGGCGCAAGCUUCUGCUGAUGGAUGGACCCGCGGUGCAUUAGCUAGUUGGUGAGGUAACGGCUCACCAAGGCCGUGAUGCAUAGCCGACCUGAGAGGGUGAUCGGCCACAUUGGAACUGAGACACGGCCCAAACUCCUACGGGAGGCAGCAGUAGGGAAUCUUCCGCAAAGGACGCAAGUCUGACGGAGCAACGCCGCGUGAGUGAAGAAGGUUUUCGGAUCGUAAAACUCUGUUGUUAGAGAAGAACAAGUGCUAGAGUAACUGUUAGCGCCUUGACGGUAUCUAACCAGAAAGCCACGGCUAACUACGUG